UUUGGAACAAAUUCAUCUCAAUAGCAAGUAGAAAGUGCGACCAUUUGGAUGUCAAUUUACAAGUACACUUUUCUAGAAACAGCUGUGGACCUCAGUGUGAACUUGCUAAAGAUUCUGUGGCCCUGUGGAAUCACUGUCCUUGUCACCUGCUCUCAGACCUUCCUGGCUCCGUUCUGACCUUUCCUUUGAGCCAUGGCACAUGCAUUCCCAUGAGGCUCAGCAUUGUGGAAGGGGAGCUCCAGAGGCCCUGUGAGAGUUUCACCAGCCACUAAAGAUUUGGAGCUCCGUGUGCAAUAGCACACGUGGCCGCCAGUCUCCGAAAGAUGAACCUGAGGAAACUACUCGGGCCUGACAUUAGCAGAGACAGGUGGGCACUUGCACGGGAUGGAUGAGAACUAGACGUCAUGGUAAAUGGUACUGAAGGCCACAGACAGGCAAUCCUUAUGGUUAUGCCAAGCAAGGGCUCUAACCAAAUUGGGCUGUAUGUAAAACACUGGGGUCAUAACCAUCGUGCCAGAGUUUUUGACUUAACCCUUGAAGCAAUAUGAUCUCAGGAAAGUGUAUCUUCAUCGCUGGGGUGUGGAACAUGACUGUUGAUCCUGAAGUUAAAGUUUUCUGGCUCCAAACUGAGAUUUAACCUUGUGUUACAACCGCCAAUAGCCAGUGAGUCAGUGUAAUGUUGGCUCACUCCUCCACCAGAGGGCGGCCAGCUGAAACCUUCUGUACUCUCAGUGGUACCUGCUCUGCUGCCAUUUCUGACUUGCUUCUACAAGGCUUAGGAACCAUCCACCUUGCUUUAUGUGAUGGAUAGCUAGCAAAUGCCGAGGACCUCCUGUCACCACCUCCCCAGCACUGAACUUCAUGCACGCAGUACUGUGCCGGCCUCUUUACAAGUGUUCUGAAGACUGAACUCUGCCCGUCAAGCCUGCGUGGCAAGUUCAAGCAUUAGACUUCUGUAUCUCCCUGUGUUUACUCUUUUCAGAGCUGCCCAUGUUCCUAUUAUAAUCAGUUUUGUUGUUCUUGUUCAUUAGUCGAGAGGCAUUUGCUUGUCUUGUUCCUUCAUCUAGAUUCUUUCAGCCACAUUUACAUGGUGACAGGAUUGAACUAUUACGGGCUUGCUUUGUAUUGUGGUUGUUUUGUGUUUGCUUGCCUCUUUGGACAUCUUCUAUUUUUCUUUCUUUCUUUCUUUGUAUUUAUUUAUUUUUUUAACUCUUUGUCAUGGCUAUCCAGUAGAGCUGUCACUUUCCUGGGUACACUACCAGUGAAUUGUCCUCACUCCUUUUUUUUUUUUUUUCUUCCAACUGGAGGCAAAGUGAUCAUCCACCAGCAAUAACCAUCUGUCUUCCUGAAGGAGAAGAAAAACUGGAUUCUAACUAGGGGUGAGAAGCUCACCCAAAGCACAGCCUAGCUCCCCAAAUGUAUGGUUAUGAUAUGACCAUAUUAGGAAAAGGGAUUUUUUUACAGUGGCCAGGAAAGUUUUUAAAGAGCUCACACCCUGGAUUUUCCAGACUCUCCAGGUGGAGUCUGCAUAAUUAUUUACAGCUGCGAACAAACAACACCCACUGUGGAGAGGAGCAGGAGAGAGGCUGAGCCUGCUGGUGGGCAGCAAAGGCUGGAGUCUGGGAGCCACAGUGUAACCACUGCCUGCCAGUGUCAAGGACAAUCCUCUCUUGGAACCAGCAGAGGAAGGGCAGCUGUGUUCGUAACUGGUAACUCAAUUUCAGACCUUUGGCCUCCAGACUUGUGAGGGUAAAUUUGUGUUGCCUUAAACCAUCGGGUUUGGGUUUGUGGUAAUUUAUUAUGGCUGCUAGAGGCUCUACCACGCCACCUGUCACUCCUUUGGUGCCCUCCCUCUUACGUUGUGUGUAUUUUACUUUGCUGACAAGUGAUGAAAAGAAAAAAAAGAAAGGAGUUAUACAAAGUCCAAGAGAAAAGCAGGGAAUAGAGAGCAGAGGUGGGUGAGGAAUACUACUUAGGGGAGGACAGAAGGAAGAGGGAAGGAAGAAAUUAAACAGAGAGAAGAGAGCAAGAGAGAGAAAUGAGGUAAGGACCAGAUGGCAUCCACUCAGGUACUUGGCUCUUUCCUUUGCCUCCCUCCAUCUCCCACCCUCCCUGCACUGUCAUGGUCUCCAGUUCCCUUAGGCAUUCUGCUACGCUAAGCAAGUUCAUUUAUUUAUGCUCUUCAGAUUUUUGAACACUCCUGGUCUCUAACCUGCAGGCAGGAGACAGUCUUAGAAGCCAAGGUAAGUCCAAAGCUCACCCGGGAAGCUCCCUUUGCAUAUGCUCUAGGGCACCACAGUCAGGGUCUCCUAAGCAAGCUAAGGCUGCCAAAAGCACCCACUUGGAAUGCUUCCGCGGUCACAUCACCCCACUCUCUUUGCCACCCACAACACAACUGAGCUCAACAAUGCAAGCAGCCCACACGUGCAAAAAUUCCAAAGUUUGGGGAGGGCACUGUGGUUGUUUUUAUUGUUUAUGGUCCAUCUUGGUUCGGCUGGGGGACCUUUAACAUCUGCUGCCCCUAAUGGUCCCUGGAAGUGAAGCUCCCCUAAAUGAUCCUGGAAGCAAGGGCAGGCGUUGACUUGAGGUCUGUCAGCAGAAUUUAGAGAUAAGUGCCAUCUUCUACCCAUUGCCCCCAUCACUCUUCGCAUAUUCUUAUCCAAUUUUUGGAAAAUUUCUCUGAAUUUCUAUCCAGGCAUUUUCCAUCAUUUCUUGAGAGGAUUUUUCAGCAUUAUUGAAGUCUGUUUUAUAUUGUGACCGUCUACUGCUCAAAAAAGUAUUUUAAGAUUUACAUGUGGUAAAGCAAACCUCUUUGGCAUACAGCUCUGUGAGUAAGAGGAACUUUUUGGAGUAGUAUAACAACCGACCCAUCAACACAUAAGACAAUUCACUUUUUUCCCUCAGUACUGGCAGCCGCCCAGUUCCCAGACAUAGCCAACACCACGGGUUUUGGAGACCUGAAAAGUCCCACUGUUUUCUCCAGGCGCCCAACCAUUACCUGACAAGAGCUGCAUAGUGGAGAACGCACCACCACAAACCAACGUGGCAGUAUUCAAAGCAAUCUCUGGCCCACUGCCCACAGACCUGUGUCAUGUUGACACAAUUAAAAUAAACCUCGUCUUCAAGGAGUGAAGACAACUUUGGGCAAGCGCGGCCCUGCCGAUGUGAAAGACAAAACAGGAAGCAGAGCUAUGAACCCUAAAGAAGAUGGUGACAGCGAUCUCUUUGGAUCUGAGGAAGGAAGUGAAGAAGCAAAGAGGCCUCCGAGAAGAGUGCCUUGCACAGUGUGAAUCCAAGAAAGCCGAAAAGCCUGCACGUGUUGCCAAGUCUUCCAUCUUACUAGAAGUGAACCCUUGGGAUGAUGAGACAGACAUGAUAAAACUGGAGAAGUGCAUCAGGAACAUCUGAGUUGAUGGCUUGGUGGGGGAUGGGGGUCUUCCUAAAUUGGUUUCCCAUGGGAUAUGGAAUUUAAAAGCUUCAAAUACAUAGUGUAGUUGAAGAUGAUAACGUUGGAACAGAUACGUUGGAAGAGCAGGUUACUUUUAAGGACUAUGUUGCAGUCCAUGAAGGUGCCUGCCUUUUUACAAAACCUAAAAUCUAUUCUCACCUCAAGUCAGCACAUUAAAUAAAAGGAUGAAAGAAUUUUUUAAAAAAUAUAUAAAAAAAAUUCCCUCUUAGUAAAAAUAAAUAAAUAAAUAAAAAUUACAAAGAUUGCAUCUUGGUAAUCAAAUCCUCUUUCUUUCCUUAGGCUGUGGCUACUGAUAUGAGUUCAUCCCAUCCAGAACUUUAUAUAAAUAGAUAUAGGUUGUUUAGUUGGUUUUGGCUUUUCAAGAUAGGUUUUCUCCAUGUAAAAGAGCCCUGAUUAUACUGGACUUGCUCUAUAGACCAGGCUGGCCUCAAACUCCUAGAGAUCUGCCUAUCUCUGCCUCCAGAGUGCUGGGAUUAAAGACAUGCAUCACCAUGCCUGGCAUAUCUUGAUUUCUUCAGUAAUUCAUGGAUUCCUUUAAUACGUCUACUUUAAGAAGGCAAACAGUAUGGACAUCAGAAGAGGGAGAAAACAGGGAACAGGACAGGAGCCUACCACCGAGGGCCUCUGAAAGACUCUACCCAGCAGGGUAUUAAAGCAGAUGCUGAGACUCAUAGCCAAACUUUGGGCAGAGUGCAGGAAAUCUUAUGAAAGAAGGGGAGGUAGAAAGACCUGGAGGGGACAGGAGCUCCACAAGGAGAGCAACAGAACCAAAAAAUCUGACCACAGGGGUCUUUUCUGAGACUGAUACUCCAACCAAGGACCAUGCCUGGAGAUAACCUAGAACACUUGCACAGAUGUAGCCCAUGGCAGCUCAGUGUCCAAGUGGGUUGCCUAGUAAGGGGAACAGGGACUGUCUCUGACAUGAACUCAGGGACUGGCUCUUCGAUCACUUCCCCCUGAGGGGGGAACAGCCUUACCAGGCCACAGAGGAAGACAAUGCAACCAGUCCUGAUGAGACCUGAUAGGCUAGGGUCAGAUGGAAGGGGAGGGGGACCUCUCUUAUCAUUGGACUUGGAGAGGGGCAUGGGAAGAGAUGAGGGAGGGGGCUACAGCUGGGAUACAAUAAACUGUAAUGAAUAUAAAAAUAUAUAAAGAAAAAAAUUUCUGAAUGUCACUCCUUUUAAUUUAUUAGCAGUUAAGCUCAUAAACACCACUAUUGGUUUAUCCAUCUACCCAGUGAAGGAUAUUUAGGGAUUUCCAGUGUUUUGUUUUUUUUUCCUUCCAUUUAUAAGCAGUACUGUUGUCAUUACCUUAAAACCAGCUCUUUCUGGUUUUAAGCUAGAACUUGGCAAGCAAAGCUUCCAGGUCAGACCCGGCUUGGAUCCUCUGGAUCCUGUUUCUGAAGUGAAUGGUGUCUUCAUCAAUAGGGACUUACCUCCAACCUCUGGGAGGCAACUAAAAUUUAGCCUAUUUUUUCAAAGAGGUUAUUAUAAUUUUUUUGUCUCUUGACUUUCAAAAGUUUCUUUUAAUUUAAUUUUCUGAAGAUUUCAUGAGUAGCAGAUUUAUGUCAUUUCCACACCUCUAUCUCUCCACUCCAACUCCUCCUGUGCUCCCCCACCCUUUUUCAAAGCCAUGUCCUCUUCUUUAAUUAUUGUUACAUAACUGUCUAUGUGCCUAUGCAUAUACAAACACAGCCUGCUGGGCUAACUUCGUGUUGCUUACAUUUGUAUUUGUUUAGAGCUGCCCACUUGGGAUUGGAUAACCUAUGAGAGGGCUCAUCCCUGGAGAAGACUGAUUCUUCCUCUCUCGGCAACCAUUAAUUGCAUAGAGCUCUUCAUCCAGGAGUGGGGUCUUGUGGGAUUUCCAUUAUUCACAGGUCCUCUGGUGUUUUCAUGGUGCCAGUGUUGUUUAGGCAACUUUAUUUUUGUGAUCUCUCAGGUGCAGCUUCCCUUUCAUACCUAAAAGACAUAAUCUGGCAGCAGACUUUCUGGAGCUCUGACUCUUGGCAUCUGUGUUGUCCCUCUUCCUUGAUAUUCCCUGAGCCUUCUGUGCAGAGGUUUGUGUUAUAGAUAUAUACAAUUGGGUAUAAUUGUAUGGCCAACUCACAAUCAGUUGUUCUCUGGGUUUUGACAGAGCCUCAAUUUGCUACAAAACAAAGCCUUUUUGAUGAGGAGUGAUGGCACUAAGCAUCUGCUGAGGGUAAUAAUAAUAAUAAUAAUAAUAAUAAUAAUAAUAAUAAUAAUAAACUUAGAAUGUAACUAGAGGUUACACUGGUUCGGGAAAGUGGCAGCAGUAAGUUCUUCUCUAGGGUCUAAGAUGUUACCAGCUAUGGCUAGUUCACUUGGCUUAUAGUACCGGGCAUGGAUUCCCUCCUACUGUAUGGAUGUUGUUUAAUUAGAUAGUUGUUGGUUAUCCCCAAGAAAUAAGUGUCAUUGCCACAUCCUUAGAACUAUCUUGCUGUGCUGGUUAUUGAUGUGAUUCAUAGCCUUACAGCUGGGUAGGACUCUCAAUCACCAAAUUCCCCCUUUGGCAACUUGCACAGCACCCUUAAUAGUGUGAAAGCUAGUUAGUCCUCAGAGAGCAGGCUUCCAGAUUAGUUGCAUCUUGCUUCCCCCAAAUCCUAUGUCCAAAGUGUAUGGUGUCUUCAUUAAUAGGGUCUUACUUUCAGGUUCUCAGAAGCAACCAAGGACAAUGGCCAUAGCCUAUCCUAUUUUGAGAGUCUCCCUAAUUCCCCUGACCAACAACUCAAAGAAAGAUUUUCCAUCCCUGGCAUUAGGGGUCUUGUUACAUAGUCUAUGGCUCUUAGAUGAAGCGUUAUCACCUCGAGUGUAUAACUUCAUCCAAACUAUGUAUGUAUAUACACACUUAUAUCUGUUAGAUACGUAUAUUUUUAAGUGGACAUAAAAAUAAUGUUUCCCCAUGGCCUUUUCGAAUAUCUUGAACAGUUAUUCUUCCUCCCUUCCUCCUACCCCCUCUCUUCCAUUUACUAUUUUCCCCUUUAUAGCACCUGUCUUUCUUAUAUCCCUCUCUCUAGAGCUCCUCCACCCUGCCCCCACAGCCUCUUUCUACUUUUCUGGCUUCUGCUAUUACUUAAGGUUCUAUGCUCAAAUAUAAAGAUUCCGAGCGUAGGUCCAAAUAUGAGAGACUAAUGAUUUGCCAGCAGUCAAACAUUUAGUGAAAUAAGUGACUUGGAACUCUGGGUCCUGACAUUUCCGUGUUGAAGAGGUAUUGAAUUGGAGAUACAGCUGGGUGAUAAGGCUUCCCUCCUGGCAGGUGCAGUACCACAGGUUUAACCUCCAGCUACUGGGGCAGGUGAGGGGGAAGGUGCUGAGGAAAGAUGGAUCUUCGAGAUCUGGAUCUUCGAGAUCCGUAUCUUCAGAGAAGCAUCUGCCCAAAGAUUUGAGAAGCAGGAUGGUGUAGUGAUUGAAAACCAGAAAUAGGAAACAGGUUAUAUGUGUCAGUUUUCUUAUGUGCACUGUCCAGAUGUCCUUGACUAUGUAGUGGCUACCUAAAACUGAAAACAUCAGAACCAAAUGUUCCAUUUCCUCCUGACUCUCAAGCCUUCUCUUUCUGAAUCCCCACUCCCAAGAAUCUAGGCCAUCCACUUGGUGAAGGACUGAUCCUGUCAUCACCCUCACCAACACCUGAUCGGCAUCAAGGCAAAUCAAGUCAAUUUUUUUUUCUACUCACCCUUCCAAUGUCAAACUGUCAUUGCCUAUCAUGUUAUAAAACAAGCACAUGGUUUAUAUUGAAGUCAGGUUAUAAACGUGUAAGGUACUAGUGGUAAAUAGUAAUCUUAUCACUUAUUAGGUUUCCUAAUUUUUCAUCAAUGUUUGUAUUUCUGAACACAUGUAAAUGAAAAUAACUGAUAAUGCACAAAAACGCACAGUACUGAUCAUCCGAGUUCUGUACAAUAUGUAGGACUACCUAUUGACAUUUUCUGCCCCAUUAUCUGAUGUUGUUGAAAAGAAGCUAAAUAAAAUCCUAGACAUGA